rnacentral:misc_RNA from 1 species
UUUCUUCUCUUCUUUCUUCUCUUCUUUUUUCGCUUCUUCUUUCUUUUUCUCGGGCUCUUUGAUUUCGAUGCUUUUAAUGGAUCCAUCGCCUUUAGAACAAAUUUUCUUCAUGAUUUUUUCAGGCGUACAACACACAACUUUGAUCUUCACCAACCCCUGUUUCUCAUCAUAAAGCUGGUCUCUAAUUUGAGGAAAUUUGGCAAGAACUUUCUUGACUUUCUUGUAGCAACGAUCGCAGUUGAGGUCGACUUUCAACACCAUAAGCACUACCUUUUCCUCCAUGGCUGAAGCUCAAGAGAAGCUGCUCCGAUCUGAAACUGAGCUAAAAUAGAGAGCCAAGGAAGUUUGGUCAAUUGGGAUGAUUGAAAAGGAAGAGACUUGGAAACAGAACAG